AUAUGUAACAUUUAAUAAUUAAAAGGGGAAGUAACAAAAGAAGCUCCCAAUCUAGAAACAUCAAGGAAUCCCACACCGUGAGGGCCACCUGUAUUUUUGCCUCUAGUUAACUAGUGUGUCCCUAUCACUUCUCCUAAAGCCUGCUCCAAGGUGACUGAUGGCUACUCUUGCUGUAUGCCACACUGUUUCCAGCUCCGACUUGCCUGGCGUUUGAUUUGAAGGGAUACCCUGAAUCCCACCUCUGCUGUUUUCUAUUUGUCAGAGUGUAGAUCAGUGGACUGAGGGCCUCCUGGGAACAUUUUGUUUCUGCUCUGGUCUAGGACAUAACUCCGGCAGACAGCUUGAUCAUUUACGAUUGCUCUAUUUUAAGCAAAAUGUCCUUGCGUGAUUUAUUCCCAGUGACACCAACCUGCAGCAAGAAUCUUUGGCUUGGACUGGUCUAGGGCUUCCUCCUAAACACCCCUGAAGAGCUGUCCUUCGUAGUCAUGCCAGACGCUGCUGCAUCUGUGAAUAUUCUCUUCUCCCAACAAAAGGGAAGACUGGAGUCCUUCCUUCCAAGGCAUAAACAAGGGAAGCAUCUGUGGGGUCUUGGCGGGGGAGCUGUGAGGGCAUAUUUGCUAUUCUUGUCCCAGUUCCUCACUUCCCAGGAAUGGAGUCCAGAGGUGUGUGGCAGGCCUGUGACCGUCAGGCUUGAAUACCAGUAGACGCCUGAAAACUCGAUACAACAGUGCCUAUCCUUAAUUCCAGCACUGGGAAAAGCAGAGUCAAGAGGAUCAGAAAUUCAAGGUCACAUUCUGCAACAUACCCCGUUCAAGGCCAACCUGGGCUAUAUGGCAUCCUGUCUGAGAUAUAAAUCCUCUAACUUUACACCCAGUACUUGGGAGGCUGAGGCAGGAGGAUUGCCAUUUGAGAGCAACCUCCAUUCCAUGGUGAGUUCCAAGUCAACCUGAGGUUAAAAAGUGAAACAAUGAAAACAAAACAAAAUAAAAAGCAAUAGAAAAUUA